CUUUGGAAGAGGAGAAAGGAGAAUGCCGACCCCCUCGCCGGGGCCUGGAGAGGCCAGCCUGGGGAGGUACAGAGAGUGUAGGGCCCAGAAAGGAAAAGAGAGAGGGGCGUGGAGAUGCCAGUUCCAAGGAGAACAGAAGAGUGGAAGGAUGGAGAUCCCAGACUCAGGAGAGAAGGCCUCCAGGUCCCAGCUUUGGGAAGAGGCAGGGAAGGGGAUAAAAAUCACCAGACCUGAGGGGGAGUACAGGACAGUAUUUCCCUCCUCCGACAGCACUUGAGAGCGGAACAGCCAAGCCCCAAGGUGUCCAGGCUCCUCUAUUUCUCUCCCCAGAACCAGCAACACAUGCUGUUUACACUGGCGACUCCCUGCCCAGAACAAAUUGCCAGCUAAGAUAAAUCACUGUCAACACCCAGGGACUCCCGGGGCUCAACUUGGAAGAACAAAGAACAUCUUCAAGGACACAAAGCAAAGCCGGUGAUAGCUCAGUCACCCAUGUCUUGCCAGGACCAAGAGGCAGUCACCGGCAGCCUCUCCAGCCUUCUCCCUGCUAGCUAAGGGAAAGGCCCCGUGCCUUUGCUAUCAGCCAGAGACUGGUGCAGGGGAAGCUCCAGAAUCCUAUACUAGUAGGCUGCCCAAUCCACCCAAGAACAUGGUCCAGAUUCCUCGUCCAGUAUCGUCAGCCUGUUUGCUCUUCUGUAACACACAGAGAAUUCCAGGCCCCUCAAUGGGCUACAGACUACAGGAACGAAGGCAUGAAAAUGAUGAAGACAUGAAAAGCGAUUUGGGUAAUGCUUUCCUCUACAUGGUUCUUCCCUCUACCCUCUCCAGAAGCCCGGAUGUGAAACUGACACUAAAAUUAUUUCCGGUCCCAGGAAUCUGAAAACCCUCACCUUCCCGCUAAGACCUACCCAGCUCCCCCAAAAGCCUCAGACUCUACCAGGGGCUGGCGACAAGAAAGAGGACUCAGCAGGCUGGAAUGGAAAUAAGCCCUGAGAGACUGCGCCAUUCCAGGCUGCACCUGUGAGCAGCCCCACAGAUGAUGCCCUGUCAGCGUUUCCAUGACAAACUCACAUUUCCGGAUGCUUCUCUUCCAGCUUGAAGAGCAUGCCUCUCGGCAAGGCUUGAUACUGAAAAUGCAUUCAGAAUUUUUUUCAAAAAAAAAAAAAAAGAUUGCACACUCCAUAAAAACUACGUUCUCCUUA